UAGCCUGGGAACCUCCAUAUGCCACGGGUGUGGCCCUAAAAAGACAAAAAAAAGGAAAAGAAAUGGAUGAUGGAGACAUGAUGAUGAAUAGAUGAUAAGUAGAUAGAUAGAGACAGAUGAUAUGCAGAUAAUGAAUAGAAUGACAGACAAUAGAUGCUCGCUCGCUGGGUGGGCAGACAUGGCAGCAGAUGGAUAGCAGGCUCUGCUUCUGUAUCUCUCCGUCUCCUCUCCUUUCUCUUCCUCGGGAGAGACCAGACAGCACCUGGCCCAGAGAACACGAGCCCCAGCAGAACCCGAGCCCCGCUCCCAUGUGGCUCAGGGCAGAGUUCAUUCCCAGGCGUGGUCCCCACACUAGGACUGAACUCUUUCAGUAACUGCUGGCCCAGCGCCCAACCUCGGGGGCCACGUCUAGACAGGUCUGGUUUCCGGCAUCUGAGCCAAGCACGUGCUCGGGUGUUCUGGCGGCCCCCACCCUGGCCUGCGCAACGCUCUAAAUACCUGUGGUCUAUGAACCGGGAGUCAAGAUAAGUAGGAUGUUAUGGAAACGUCUAAGCUUCCGAUGCUGCAUGGGGUUUUCAGGCUGUGCCGUCGGGUCUCAGGUGGCGAAGAGUAUUGGGAGGGGUCAGCGCCUCUGGGCAACUCCUGUCCAUUCUUGUUAAGUUCUGUUUCACACCCCCGCUGAGAUGGGUUUGCAUCCCCUCAGGUCAUGCUGCCCCACAGGCGUCAUUUGUAGGGACCUGGGAAGCUGCCCGUAGUCGUCACCAGGCAGGGGUCUUGGCAGAUCCCGGCAGCCUCUGGGGGCCUGGCUCUGUCUGCAGUGUCAGGAGGCUGGGAAGUUGCUCCAAGCCAUUGUGGGAACCUCGGUGCCUCCAUCAAGCAGCAUGGCCAUCUGUGUUCCUCCGUGACCAUGGCGUGGCUUCGUUUUUUUCGCCCAGCAAUUCGCGGGAUGGACACACCCCUCAGGAAUCUGGUCCCUCCCUCUUCCCCGUGGGUAAUUCAGAAACGAGGAGUUCCCAUCAUGGUCCAGUGGUUACAAACCCGACCAGUAUCCAUGAGGACAUCAGUUCGAUCCCUGGCACCUCUCAGAGGAAGAAGGAUCUGGCGUUGCUAUGGCUGUCGUGUACACCUGCAGCUGCAGCUCCGAUUCGACCCCAAGCCCGGGAACGUCUGUAUGCCGCAGGUGCAGCCCCUAAAAAGCAAACUAAAUUAACAAAUGAAAAAGGAUCCUUGUCGUUGACUUAGCAUUCAGGAAAAAGAAGGUUAUCUGUGUGCCUGUUUAGAGCAAUACCUCCAAGCCUUUCAGGAUACGCCAGAGGGACGUUUCUUUCCCCAGAGUCAGCCCCUCUCCCUGGCUCCCAUCCACCAGCCAUCGCGUCUCUUCUUCUAUUUCCAAACACUCAUAUAUGCCAGGUGGGCCAAGUGGGUGGACACGCCUGGGUACCCCUCUCUGUACAUUCCUCAGGCUCUGACUUCACUCCGCAGCCCUUUCCUAAGGAAAGGCUGGCCUCUCCAAAAAUCACACAGGCGCGAGGACUCAUCCCCGUUACCGUUUGGAAAACGGUCUGUGGGUGUUGGGACGUGCUCUGCCGGUGCUCAGCUCGCAAAAAUCCCACCGUCUGUUCCAGGAUCCUGUCCUGGACUCGCCCCGCUGGUGGAGGUGCCUUCUCUGAGUCUCCCGGGUACGGGGCCAGCGGCCGCCCCCAGUGAAAUGAACUGAUGUCUGUGGACUCGGGCCAGGCCAGUGAGGCACGAGGAAGGCUGCAACUAUUUGCAGAGAACGUGCCCUGUGCAGCUCCCUAAAUAGCCGGGGUUGGGAAGAGCCGGAAGCUGGGGUCCGUGAUGGCCAGCAUGAGGCGUCAAGGAGGUUGCUGUCCCCAGGCGUCCCUGGUGGUCCCAGAAUUCUUCACAAAGACAGUGAUGCCUGGGGCCAGGUUCGCUGGUGGCAGGACCCCGCGGGGAGGGGUCCACGUGGGAGACAUCUCCUUGCGACUCACGCCCCCAGGUGUGUCUGGUCGCAGCUGGAUCAUGACACGCCAACGUGGAAGUCCUUGACGGUGAGAACCUGGAGCCAUCGUCGCCGGGUGAGACGGAAGGGACACCGCCAUGCUUUGCGCGCAGCAGUUUCAAGGCGCAGAAGGCAAACGGGAUGCCCACGUGAAACUAUGCUGCAGCAGUGCCCGCAAAUGUGCCCGGGCUCGCACAGGAUUCCGACGUGGCAAGUCCCAGGUGCGGCUGGAGCCCGUCCAUUUGUGCCUGGCGCCCAGGUGAUCCUGCUGGUGGUGGGAGCGCCUCUAGAGAUGUGUUCUAGUGGCCUGGCGUCAUAGCCACUAGCCAUCCAUGGCUAACUAAAUGGCGUAAAAUAAAGGCAAAUCUAAAACCUUACUUCUUUGGUCCUAUGAGCUACAUUUCAAGUGCCAGGCAGCUGCCAUAUGGAUAGUACAGCAGAGAACAUUCUUCUGUCAUUGCAGAAAGUUCUACCAAACUCUGCUAGGGUAGGGCGUUCCUGCUAUGGCUCAGGGGGUUAGGAAACUGACUAGUACCCAUGAGGAUGUGGGUUCAAUCCCUGGCCUCACUCAGUGGGUCAGGGAUCUAGCAUUGUCAUAAGCUAGACAUGUGUUGGUCGCAGACACUUCUCAGAGUCAGCAUUGCUGUGGCUGUGAAGUAGACCAGCAGCUGCAGCUCCGAUUCCACCCCUAGCCUGGGAACUUCCAUUUGCUGCAGGUGCAGCCCCUAAAAAAGCAAAACAAACAAACAAAAAAAAAACUGUGUUCGUCUAGAGGCUGGCUGUCACGCAGGAACGUCUAGUUACCACGGGGUUAAUAGGUUUUAAUGUUUGGAGUGUUUUUUAUCAUAAGAUGCUAAGGGGCGUGGUACCUCCAUAAGAUUCUGAACACUGGUGUAAUGCCUUUUAUAAUCAGGGCACACAUACACCCUCCCUCAGAAUGCAAGGCUCCCUCGAUGAUCGAAAAGCCAGGCUUUCAUUUCCCUAUGAAAGCCUGAAACAUCCCCCCAGUUGCCAUAUUUCCGGAUAGGUUCGUGUGUGCGCACUCGCAGGCUCUAAUGCAGGAGAGCUGUACACAUCGACAGCUGCCGGGAUACCCCGUCUGCCUCCUCUCAUGUUUUCUUAGCCUUAUUUUCCAUUCUCUAGAGGAGCCAGAGACACGCAGAAUGAGGUUUCUCCUGAGCAGGAAGCGUGCCCGUGAGCAACCAGCUGAGAAGUCGACCCAUCACAUGUGAAAAUGAGAAAGUCCCGUCGAGGCCAGACCCCGCUGUCCUUGGAAAGGUGUUGAGUUGAUUUCUUCCAAGGGGUGAGGGAGCAAUUCAGGUUCCCUGCCCAGCGGGUGCUCUGCCUCCCUAGUUCCGGAGGCUGGACUUUCAAGACCUGCUGAGAGCCAUCUUCCUGGUUCAUCAAUGGACGUUCUCUCCAUCAGGACAGAGACAAGACAGUUCCUUCUUACCCGUGAGAGAGUAAGUCCUUUGUUGCUACUCUGGCCUUCAACUGAUUAGAUGCGGCCCACCCCUAUAGAUGCGGG
rnacentral:lncRNA from 9 species